CCUACGGGUGGCUGCAGUGGGGAAUAUUGGACAAUGGGCGAAAGCCUGAUCCAGCCAUGCCGCGUGUGUGAAGAAGGCCUUCGGGUUGUAAAGCACUUUCAGUGGGGAAGAAAGCCUCGGGGCUAAUACCCUCGAGGAAGGACAUCACCCACAGAAGAAGCACCGGCUAACUCCGUGCCAGCAGCCGCGGUAAUACGGAGGGUGCGAGCGUUAAUCGGAAUUACUGGGCGUAAAGCGCGCGUAGGCGGUCUGAUAAGCCGGUUGUGAAAGCCCCGGGCUCAACCUGGGAACGGCAUCCGGAACUGUCAGGCUAGAGUGCAGGAGAGGAAGGUAGAAUUCCCGGUGUAGCGGUGAAAUGCGUAGAGAUCGGGAGGAAUACCAGUGGCGAAGGCGGCCUUCUGGACUGACACUGACGCUGAGGUGCGAAAGCGUGGGUAGCAAACAGGAUUAGAUACCCGAGUAGUC
rnacentral:rRNA from 1 species